rnacentral:lncRNA from 1 species
CAAAUUAAAAUAUAAUGUUGUCAAAAGAGUUCCUCAAAACUUGAAGAACCUUACUUUUAGUAUAAUAAGCUGAAACAUCUCGACAUCGCUCUAGCAAUAUUUCCAAAAUGGCUUGCUUGGUUUGAAGCUGAAUAGAUUUUGAACUCAAUUUACCCUCAAUGAUGAGAAACAAAAACAACAAAGAAAUAAGCUUAAAUGGAAACUAGGAUGGCAUCCCAUUGAUGGAAAACCUUAGGAAGUUAGAAUGACCAAUGAUAGAACCUAGGAUGGCAUCCUAAUUAUGAGAAACCAAAG